GAUGAAGAACGCAGCGAAAUGCGAUAAGUAAUGUGAAUUGCAGAAUUCAGUGAAUCAUCGAAUCUUUGAACGCAUCUUGCGCUCCUUGGUAUUCUGAGGAGCAUGCCUGUUUGAGUGUCAUUAAGUUCUCAACUACACUGACUUUGAAUUGGUGUGGCUUGGAUUUGGGGGGAAAAUUGUUGUGGGCUUUUUGUAUAGUCUGCUCCCCUGAAAUUGAUUAGCGGUACCUUUGUGGAACUGUCUACAGGUGUGAUAAUUAUCUACAUCUUAGACAUCUGCUGGAAUGCUGCUUUCUAAACCUUACUUGUAUUGACAAUCUUGACCUCAAAUCAGGUAGGACUACCCGCUGAACUUAAGCAUAUCAAUAAGCGGAGGA
rnacentral:misc_RNA from 1 species